GUGCUCACUUCAGCAGCACAUAUACUAAAAUUGGAACAAUACAGAGAUUUAGCAUGGCGCCUGCACAAGGAUGACACAUAAAUUGUGAAGUGUUCCAUAUUUUU